CUGUGACAGCCUUCGCCGCGCCGCCCGAGCCCGUCGCUCCGCUCAAGCCGGUGGCCGAGCGCGGCAUUCCGAAAGGCGCUGAAAGUUUCCUCCAAAUAGCUGCGGCCAAGAGGUGGCGGCAAACAGGGCCGGGCCAGGGCUUCUUCCCAGCCCUCCUCCCCAAGGAAGGAAGGGCUAACUUUAACAGCGGCAGCAGAAGAGGGAAUGGUGGUGACUGAGGAGACGGGCGAGCAGCACUAACUUCUGUCUUUUGAGUCUUCCCUUUCCUCACAGAGCAGCACGCCCUUUCUCUAAAGGGCAGACUGGAGCUCUAGCACACACUUGGCACAGCCCUGCUCUUCAGAACCACAGUUCUUCCUGGGCGGAAGCAGCCUUGGCACCCACAUCUGUAAACAGCCGUCAGGUUUUCUAGUGAAACCAGUUAAGUCAACAAGUCAUGGGGCUGGUCCUAGGCAGAUGGCCUCUGCCCAAAAGAACACGGAACAAGGUAGAGUUAGACUUUGAAAUAUGCUGCGUUCUGUGUUUUUAAACUCCGGGCAGUCUUUAAACGCUCUGCUUAUGGAUCGUGCUCUCAAUCUUUUCCACAUGGCCUUUUGCGAAAUGCAGGCUGAACAGUGGACAAACAGGGCGAAUCUUUUUCAAGGUGGGGUCAGAGCUAGGAAGGAGCAGCCAUCGAUGUUAGAAAGCUCCAGCUCCUAAUCGCCCUACCUGGCACUGCUGAAAGGUGGGGAUGAGGUUAUGUGAAAUCAUCAGCGUUUAUGCUCGACUGGCAAACCUAAAUAAAAACUGGACUCUCUCAACCCGAAACUCUCUAGUAGGGAAAAAAAGAGACGAGCAAACGGCGUCGAAAUCCUUGGAAAACGGAGGAUGCAUCUUUCCACCGGAUUUGAGAAUAAAGCAUCUUGUCUAGUGAGGAAAGCCAACAUGGCCUCCUGGAGAUAGUCACAGGAAAUGGUAUUUCCCAGCCUCUCUCCUUCACCAACCAGCAUGCUCGGCCCCAUUGAGGUGUGAGCAGCCUUCUAAAGAUGCCGAAUACUAAGAAAGUGCAUAGCCAGGCCAACAGCCAG